ensembl:lncRNA
GGGAGAGGUAAAGAGAGGGAGAGGUAAAGAGAGGGAGAGGGAAAGAGAGAGAGAGGUAAAGAGAGGGAGAGGUAAAGAGAGGGAGAGGUAAAGAGAGAGAGAGGUAAAGAGAGGGAGAGGUAAAGAGAGGGAGAGGUAAAGAGAGGGAGAGGUAAAGAGAGGGAGAGGUAAAGAGAGGGAGAGGUAAAGAGAGCGGGCAAGAAACACAGGUGAACAGUGUCGAGGGAUAGAAAGAUGGAGAGAGAAAAGAAGUGAGAGGGAGAAAGAAAGAAAGAGUUGAGGGAACAACAAAGUCUUGGACUAAUGGGCUGCAGAUGUACUUCUAACGGGGUAUCCAGACAACACAACAUGCAUUAGCAUCAAUUAUAACCGGAAAGAGAGACUUUGAAUCAAAAGCUAGCCGUACCCCAUGAACUGCAGUUACACAAUAACACAUUCCUGAGAAACAACCUUUUCCUCUCUCUCAGCCUGAAAGCUUGGCCUCCCAGAGACACCCCAGGUGUAUAGAGACUUAUAGGGUUCAUCCCAAAUGGCUCCCUCUUCCCUAUAUUAGUGCAUUACGUUUGAGCAGGGCCCGUAUGGCACUAUGUAAGGGAAUAGUGUGCCAUUUGAGGCGUAGCUGUAGUCAUUGGAAUAGGCUGAUAGCACACUCUUAUCUUUAUAAGGUUUUAAUGCAGUUUGGAUGCAGUAGGGUUUGACACUGGCUGGAGGUACAUUCGUAGAGUAAAGAGAGGAACUGUUGUGGGCUCCUCACUGGAGUGUUUGGGCCUCUGGGCCUCCGCCUAUGUGUACCAAACAGGGUGGGGGUCAAUUAUAAUUGAAGUUAGUCAUUUCAGGAAGUCCUUUAUAUUUCACAUGAAUACAUUGAAAAACGUUUUCAAUAAAUUGUUUCUUCUUUUCAGUUUAUUGAGAAGUCAUUGACAAUAGAUGCACUUUUUUUAUUUGUACAAAUUAGAAUUUCAGUUUCCUUUUUGAAUUGAC